GAGUUUGAUCCUGGCUCAGAACGAACGCUGGCGGCAGGCUUAACACAUGCAAGUCGAACGAGCUUAGGCCUUCGGGUACGGCUAGUGGCAGACGGGUGAGUAACACGUGGGAAACUACCCUUUAGUCAGGAAUAGCUUCGGGAAACUGAAAUUAAUACCUGAUACUCCCUCCGGGGGAAAGAUUUAUCGCUAAAGGAUGUGCCCGCGCUAGAUUAGCUUGUUGGUGAGGUAAUGGCUCACCAAGGCUCCGAUCUAUAGCUGGUCUGAGAGGACGAUCAGCCACACUGGAACUGAGACACGGUCCAGACUCCUACGGGAGGCAGCAGUGGGGAAUAUUGGACAAUGGGCGAAAGCCUGAUCCAGCCAUGCCGCGUGAGUGAUGAAGGCCUUCGGGUUGUAAAACUCUUUUAGCAGGGAAGAUAAUGACGGUACCUGCAGAAAAAGCCCCGGCUAACUUCGUGCCAGCAGCCGCGGUAAUACGAAGGGGGCUAGCGUUGUUCGGAAUUACUGGGCGUAAAGCGCGCGUAGGCGGUGUAUUAAGUUGGAAGUGAAAUACCUGGGCUCAACCCAGGAACUGCUUUCAAAACUGGUACACUAGAGAAUAGUAGAGGAUGAUGGAAUUU
rnacentral:rRNA from 1 species